AAAUUGUUGUACGUCGCAUUGGCUUCAAUUUGAGCUAGAUAUCAUCCAAUAAGGAGAAGAUUUUAUGUGGUGCUGCAAAUUUAAGGUUGAGACAAUAUUGGACAACAUAUACGUAUAAACGCUAAAGGUACAAAUACUCAUUUUGGAGAGCCGCCAGC